rnacentral:rRNA from 1 species
AGUGGCGAACGGGUGAGUAAUAUAUCGGAAUGUACCCUAGAGUGGGGGAUAACGUAGCGAAAGUUACGCUAAUACCGCAUACGAUCUAAGGAUGAAAGUGGGGGAUCGCAAGACCUCAUGCUCGUGGAGCGGCCGAUAUCUGAUUAGCUAGUUGGUAGGGUAAAAGCCUACCAAGGCAUCGAUCAGUAGCUGGUCUGAGAGGACGACCAGCCACACUGGAACUGAGACACGGUCCAGACUCCUACGGGAGGCAGCAGUGGGGAAUUUUGGACAAUGGGCGAAAGCCUGAUCCAGCAAUGCCGCGUGAGUGAAGAAGGCCUUCGGGUUGUAAAGCUCUUUUGUCAGGGAAGAAACGGUGAGAGCUAAUAUCUCUUGCUAAUGACGGUACCUGAAGAAUAAGCACCGGCUAACUACGUGCCAGCAGCCGCGGUAAUACGUAGGGUGCAAGCGUUAAUCGGAAUUACUGGGCGUAAAGCGUGCGCAGGCGGUUUUGUAAGUCUGAUGUGAAAUCCCCGGGCUCAACCUGGGAAUUGCAUUGGAGACUGCAAGGCUAGAAUCUGGCAGAGGGGGGUAGAAUUCCACGUGUAGCAGUGAAAUGCGUAGAUAUGUGGAGGAACACCGAUGGCGAAGGCAGCCCCCUGGGUCAAGAUUGACGCUCAUGCACGAAAGCGUGGGGAGCAAACAGGAUUAGAUACCCUGGUAGUCCACGCCCUAAACGAUGUCUACUAGUUGU